rnacentral:rRNA from 1 species
AUUGAACGCUGGCGGCAGGCUUAACACAUGCAAGUCGAGCGGUAACAGGGGUAGCUUGCUACCCGCUGACGAGCGGCGGACGGGUGAGUAAUGCAUAGGAAACUGCCCAGUAGUGGGGGAUAGCCCGGGGAAACCCGGAUUAAUACCGCAUACGUCCUUCGGGAGAAAGCAGGGGAUCUUCGGACCUUGCGCUAUUGGAUGUGCCUAUGUCGGAUUAGCGUGGUUGGUGAGGUAAUGGCUCACCAAGGCGACGAUCCGUAGCUGGUCUGAGAGGAUGAUCAGCC